GCACGGCACUGCCUUGCGAUUCUCUAAAAUUCAAACAAGAACUCGCAUCUCACUACGAAAUUCUCCAUCACUUCGCAUUCGCAAUAGAAUGACCUUGAUUUGGCAUUCUGUAAACACUAAUCUUAAUUACCCUGCCUCGAGCGAAGUGAAGUGACAACGAAGUUUGUUUAUAAUAUACUAGGGAUAGCCGUAUACGCGCAAAUGUAAAUCGAAGCUUACCGGUUUCAGUUUUUCGUUGUAUUUAUAAGCAUUCUGUAAGAAAAUACUAUGAAUUUAAGCUUUGGUGUCUAAGCCACAUCUAAUAUAUCUAAAAAGAAAAUUAAAAGUCAUAUAUUUAUGAAAUUAAUUGUAAUUUCUGGAUGUACGCUAAGUUCCUUUGCGUGCACUGGCGAAUACCAGAAUUAAAAAACAAAAUUUUGUUUUCAAAACAAUCUCAAGCAGUCGGAAGUUUUUAUUUUGCUUUUUCUAGAGUUUUUGUUACUUUGUGAGUGAAUUUAACGUUAAGUAAAAAUUAUGAGACUUAACGAGCGUUCUUCUCAUCCGACAUUGGUGCAAAUAGAGGCAUUGAUAGACGUUUUGGAUUAAAAGCUAGCGAAACAAAAGGUUUAAUCGUAUCUCAACAUGUUCAAUAAGAGAACAAGGAUAUUAAAAAAAUAUAGGAAUUAAAUUCUCUUGUCAGAUAUGAUCCAUUCCCGGUGAGAUAUUUAGGACAUGUUAACAUCUAUUUAUGUAUGAUAAAUCUAUCUACUACGUUUUUAUUGAUAUUCUAUUUUAACAGGGAAUAUCGGUAAUUUAUCUGUAUCUCAAAUUCACCAACAAAAAAAAUAUAUAUUGAAUUAAAUAAAUCAAAUCAUUAACAAUUUAGGCAUUGCAAGUUGGAUUGAUGUUGUUGGAAUGUUUUUAUUGAUGCAGAGGUGACUGUAUUUAUGGUAAAGGGUGUGCAUAUUGGUACAGGGGUGGCAGGCAGUUCCAGAGUAUUGACUAAACUGACAUUAUGUAGGUUAAAGGCUGCAUACUCCGUUUAAAAUAAAUGAACAAAAUUUAGGCAUAACCUAUUUUAUUAUAUUUAAGGAACUACAACAGAUUGAAAAUACUAAUCCACAUCAUCAGAAUAUUGUAAGGAGAAUUUAUUGCCAACUCGGAAAAUGUAUCAGUAUUGGAACAAUCCCAAACAUACAGCAUUGCAUCAAGAAUCACCUAUUUUGCAGUCAUCCUCCCCUAACUAAAUGCAAGUGACUUCUACUUAUUGUGAUGCUACUACUAGUAGCUCCAGCCACAGUAGGUCUCAUGUUAGUCAAGAGAUUGGCUUGUUAGCACCUCAAUACCUGACCUGCUAUUUCACCACUUUUCAAUGAAAAGCAGAGUGUACUCAAAUUACAACAAAUUACACAGUACCAGGAUAUAUAACUUAAACAACCAUGGGGGAAUAAAUAGUCGACAGUCUGCAAGAAGGAUGAACUGUUGGUGGAAUUAGCAUAUGCAGCUAGGAAUUUUAAACCUGUAUUUCCACAUAUUACUGAUGCAAACAAAUUUCAAAAUUAUUGUAUAUAACUAUUGAAUAAAACUAUUUUUAUAAAUCAUUAA